UGUCCAGGAUGUAUCAUGCUUUGUGCCUGUUGCUUGCUGGGAUAGGUUCCGGUCCCCCUUUAACUCUGGAUUGGAUGAAGUGGUUAGAAAAUGGACAGGGAAUAUUGAGGGAACAAGCAACAUGAACCACAAGGUGGUUUCUCUAAUGAAAGCUACAUAAAAGUUUGGCUAUACAAUCUGUGACAUCAUGAAACAGGGGCACUGCUUUUGGAUAGAAGCAGAGAACCACAGGAGUGCUGCAUAUCCAAGACAGAUACAGCAACAUCACUAAGGCAAUAGCAGUAAAUUAUCACAACCCAAAGCAUGAUCUUUUUUUCGUACUACAAACCACACAUGCUAGGUGGGUCAAAUGGUCCCCAUCAUUUGAAAACAUUGUG